rnacentral:rRNA from 1 species
UACGUAGGGUGCAAGCGUUAAUCGGAAUUACUGGGCGUAAAGCGUGCGCAGGCGGUUUUGUAAGUCUGUCGUGAAAUCCCCGGGCUCAACCUGGGAAUUGCGAUGGAGACUGCAAGGCUAGAAUCUGGCAGAGGGGGGUAGAAUUCCACGUGUGAGCAGUGAAAUGCGUAGAGAUGUGGAGGAACACCGAUGGCGAAGGCAGCCCCCUGGGUCAAGGAUUGACGCUCAUGCACGAAAGCGUGGGGAGCAAACGAGG